rnacentral:rRNA from 1 species
GAGUUUGAUCCUGGCUCAGAUUGAACGCUGGCGGCAGGCCUAACACAUGCAAGUCGAGCGGUAGAGAGAAGCUUGCUUCUCUCGAGAGCGGCGGACGGGUGAGUAAUGCCUAGGAAUCUGCCUGGUAGUGGGGGAUAACGCUCGGAAACGGACGCUAAUACCGCAUACGUCCUACGGGAGAAAGCAGGGGACCUUCGGGCCUUGCGCUAUCAGAUGAGCCUAGGUCGGAUUAGCUAGUUGGUGAGGUAAUGGCUCACCAAGGCGACGAUCCGUAACUGGUCUGAGAGGAUGAUCAGUCACACUGGAACUGAGACACGGUCCAGACUCCUACGGGAGGCAGCAGUGGGGAAUAUUGGACAAUGGGCGAAAGCCUGAUCCAGCCAUGCCGCGUGUGUGAAGAAGGUCUUCGGAUUGUAAAGCACUUUAAGUUGGGAGGAAGGGCAGUAAAUUAAUAACUUUGCUGUUUUGACGUUACCGACAGAAUAAGCACCGGCUAACUCUAGUGCCAGCCGCCG